rnacentral:rRNA from 1 species
AGAGUUUGAUCAUGGCUCAGAUUGAACGCUGGCGGCAGGCUUAACACAUGCAAGUCGAACGGUAACAGGGAGAAAGCUUGCUUUCUUUGCUGACGAGUGGCGGACGGGUGAGUAAUGCUUGGGAAUCUGGCUUAUGGAGGGGGAUAACUACGGGAAACUGUAGCUAAUACCGCGUAGUAUCUUCGGAUUAAAGGGUGGGACCGUAAGGCCACCUGCCAUAAGAUGAGCCCAAGUGGGAUUAGGUAGUUGGUGGGGUAAAGGCCUACCAAGCCGACGAUCUCUAGCUGGUCUGAGAGGAUGGCCAGCCACACUGGAACUGAGACACGGUCCAGACUCCUACGGGAGGCAGCAGUGGGGAAUAUUGCACAAUGGGGGGAACCCUGAUGCAGCCAUGCCGCGUGAAUGAAGAAGGCCUUCGGGUUGUAAAGUUCUUUCGGUGAUGAGGAGGGUGUUUGUUUUAAUAGAACAAGCAAUUGACGUUAGUCACAGAAGAAGCACCGGCUAACUCCGUGCCAGCAGCCGCGGUAAUACGGAGGGUGCGAGCGUUAAUCGGAAUGACUGGGCGUAAAGGGCACGCAGGCGGUGACUUAAGUGAGAUGUGAAAGCCCCGGGCUUAACCUGGGAAUUGCAUUUCAUACUGGGUCGCUAGAGUAUUUUAGGGAGGGGUAGAAUUCCACGUGUAGCGGUGAAAUGCGUAGAGAUGUGGAGGAAUACCGAAGGCGAAGGCAGCCCCUUGGGAAUAUACUGACGCUCAUGUGCGAAAGCGUGGGGAGCAAACAGGAUUAGAUACCCUGGUAGUCCACGCUGUAAACGCUGUCUGAUUUGGGGAUUGGGCUUAGAGCUUGGUGCCCGUAGCUAACGUGAAAAUCGACCGCCUGGGGA